UGACGGUACCUGACUAAGAAGCUCCGGCUAAAUACGUGCCAGCAGCCGCGGUAAUACGUAUGGAGCAAGCGUUAUCCGGAUUUACUGGGUGUAAAGGGAGCGUAGGCGGUGAUGCAAGUCAGAAGUGAAAACCCGGGGCUCAACCCCGUGGAUUGCUUUUGAGACUGUGUUGCUGGAGUACAGGAGGGGCAGGCGGAAUUCCUGGUGUAGCGGUGAAAUGCGUAGAUAUCAGGAGGAACACCGGUGGCGAAGGCGGCCUGCUGGACUGUAACUGACGCUGAGGCUCGAAGGCGUGGGGAGCAAACAGGAUUAGAUACCCUG
rnacentral:rRNA from 1 species